CGCGUUAAUUAGAGAGAGAAACAGCGUUCGUUUGGUAGAAAAGAAAAAGAAAAGGAAAAAAAGGGAAAUUUUAAAAAGAGAGAGAAAGAGAAAGAGGGAAGGUGUGUGGAAUCUUCAGGCAAAGGUCCAAAUAACCAGUCAGGAAUCGCCCUCCUCUUCUCCUUCUCUUUAUAUUUAUGCUUUGUGGAGGUGCUUUUCUUUUGGGUUUCUGUUUAAUUUGAUUCCAUUUCCCAUCAUUUUUUCUUUCUUUCUCAACCCAAUUCAAAAACCACGGAUUCCUGUCGUUUUCUUUUCUUUUAUUUAAUUUUCUCUCUCUCACCUUCACAACACACAAACACCCAGCAAUCCCCUUAAUCAGCAUAUCUCAAGACGAGCUUGGCGUUGGAGGAUUGC
rnacentral:misc_RNA from 1 species